rnacentral:rRNA from 1 species
CUGGAGGUAUCAGAAGUGCGAAUGCUGACAUAAGUAACGAUAAAGCGGGUGAAAAGCCCGCUCGCCGGAAGACCAAGGGUUCCUGUCCAACGUUAAUCGGGGCAGGGUGAGUCGACCCCUAAGGCGAGGCCGAAAGGCGUAGUCGAUGGGAAACAGGUUAAUAUUCCUGUACUUGGUGUUACUGCGAAGGGGGGACGGAGAAGGCUAUGUUGGCCGGGCGACGGUUGUCCCGGUUUAAGCGUGUAGGCUGGUUUUCCAGGCAAAUCCGGAAAAUCAAGGCUGAGGCGUGAUGACGAGGCACUACGGUGCUGAAGCAACAAAUGCCCUGCU